UACGUAGGGUCCGAGCGUUGUCCGGAUUUAUUGGGCGUAAAGAGCUCGUAGGCGGCGUGUCGCGUCUGCUGUGAAAGCCCGGGGCUCAACUUCGGGUGUGCAGUGGAUACGGGCGCGCUUGAGGGAGGUAGGGGAGACCGGAAUUCCUGGUGUAGCGGUGAAAUGCGCAGAUAUCAGGAGGAACACCGGUGGCGAAGGCGGGUCUCUGGGCCUUUCCUGACGCUGAGGAGCGAAAGCGUGGGGAGCGAACAGG
rnacentral:rRNA from 1 species